AAAAGAGUACUUGCUUUGGCACUAAAAAAUUGGAACAAUACAGAGAAGAUUAGCAUUGUCCCUAAGCAAGGAUGACACACAAAUUCUUGAAGUGUUCCGUAUUUUC
ensembl:snRNA U6 U6 spliceosomal RNA